AUGUUGGUGCAGGAUUGCCCAUCAAUUACUCUAGUGUGGCGUUUCAUUACUUUUCCCCAUAUUAUUCCACAGGUUUGCAACGUGACCAGAUUUAUUUAUGGCCUCUGGAGAGAUGUACUACUUCUAGUGCUGACAGAGGUCAGGUCUUCCAGGAUCCUGGCAGCUGCUGAGCAAGUGAGGAAACAAAGAGCCCCCCAGUGUGGUGGCCGGAUCUCCUUGUCAGAGCUCUGGAAGAAUGGUAUUUUGUUUCCUCCCCUCCAUUGGCAAGCGAGUCCCAGGCAUCCAAAUGCAGCAAGACAGGACACAUCUUGUAAAGGGCAUGACAGUCUACUUUUCAAGUCUCAGGAUUAUCUAAAGACAGAAGAGUUCUGCGAGGUGAAAUGAGUGAACUUGCUUGCUUCCGGGUACAGUGCAUUUAGAGAAGAAUAGGAGCUUCAUCGACACAUAAAUAAUUGAGACAAACAAGGCAUACAGGUAAUCCAUGCAUCCUAUAUCCAGGCAUUCUGGCAUCAGGCACAUCAGGUAUAUAUCAUCUUUGGGUGACACAACUUCAGUCAGGGCUGGUAGCCAUAUAUCCCUGUGCUCAGUUGCCACCCUGCGAUAUCUCUUUCCUGUUUUGAGGAUCCCUUUUGCUUCUUUGCCUUUCUCCUGGGCUGCAUCCCCUUAUUUUCUGAUACUAAUGUCCUUUAGUUUGUUCUCCCUUUUUUUGUUCACAAACAUUUCCUUGCAGAUUUUUGAGAAAGGAUGAGAAGGAUAUGUAUAUUAAAAAGACAUUUUGGGGCAUCUGGGUAGCUCAGUUGGUUAAGCAUCCAUCUUCGGCUCAGGUUACUAUCUCAUAGUUUGUGGGUUCGAGCCCCGCAUUGGUUUCUGUGCUGACAGCUGAGAGCCUGGAGCCUGGUUCAGAUUCUGUGCCUCCCUCUUUCUCUGCCCCUCCCCCACUUGCACCCUGUCUCGUCUCUCUCUCAAAAAUAAAUAAAACAUUAAAAAAAACUUAAAAAAAAAA
rnacentral:lncRNA from 1 species